GGAAAUUGAGAGUCCUAAGAACCAGCUUUUUUUCUUUACCUUUCCUAUGAUUACCUACGUUUGGAAGCACAUUGGUGCCUCUCCCCAUAUUGUUCCAAGCAAUGAUGUAAAUGUGAAGGGGGAAGCUGCUAGUCAUCUAAACCUUAAAAGUAGAAGGAAAACAGUGUGAUGAAAUUAAUACUAAUGUUGUGAUACUUGAGGUGACCGGCCAAAGAAUGAUGGUGUAGUGUGCCCUGGAGUGGAGAAAUAGGAACUCCAGGAGGCAGUAGAGGAACACACAGCAUGGAAAGCAGUGGGGUACUGAAGAUAGCUUUUUUCCUCUGCAUUUUUCCAGACUCAUAUGGUGGAAUAAAACCUCCCCUAAGUAAGCAAAGCUCUGCUACUUUACCCCCAAAUUUCCAUGUGCCUUUAUAGGAUAUAGUGCUGGAAGGAGCACUGGAUUCGAGUUAGAAGAUCCGGAUUCUAGUCCUGUUUGUUAUCUUUUGUACUCUAGGAAAGUCACCUAAUUUUUUACCUUAUUGUGGAAAUGGAGAUGAUGAUAGCUGUGCUAACGUAUCUGUCACAGUUAAUUUAAGGAUCAGAUGGUAAUAGAUAAAACUGAAAGUAUAUAUAUACAUGCUAUGUAUAUAUACAUAUACACUAAAAUAGAGUUUAUGUAUAAAACUGAAGUCUAUAUAUAAAAAGUUAUUAUUAUUAUAACUUUUUUUCUUAACCCUCUAAAAUUCCUACCAUGACUGCCACUCUAUUCCCUGCCCUGCCUUGCCUGGAGUGGUGGGGAGUGGGAUGGGGAAAGAUGAGUCAGCUCCUGUCACCCAUGGCAUGAAUCUCCUGUUUCUUGGGAAUCAAAGCUGCAAAUCUUCCCUUCUUCUUAGAGUUGUACCCAGACUUCAUUUGAAGAGCCAUCUCCCAUCUUUCUAUGGCUAAUUUCUCAGGGGUGUGUAGAGGAACCAGGAUUAGCUGAUUCAGCUAUGAGAGGAAUUUACCCACACCUAUUACAUUCACCUUGGAUAAAUUGGUCAGAAUCGUUUCUUCACUUUGAUUGGUCAAUUACAGAGAAAUUGGGAUUUUUUUUUCCUUAUGGUAAUUCAGAGAGUCAUUUGAUUAAUUGAGAUUCUUUUUCAUUGACAAUUAUUUCAUCAGUGAUGGCUGCACUGAUACUACUAAAAUCUUGAAUGAUCCAAAAUGUAGACCCAGAUAAGUUUACCUUAGGUAAAUUUUAACAGUGGUACAAUUUAAAAUGGAACCAAUUUAUAAAAGUCUUUAGGACAACUCUUUAGUACAUAUUUGUUUAAUGACAUGAACUCCACUAAGAAAUAAUCUACCAGUUUUAGAUUACUAGUUACUUUAAUAUUGAUAAAGAUAGAAGGGAUUGUUAAAGCUUACCUUUUUGUUCCAGCUGAGAGCUCUUAUAAUUAAAUCAUAGGGUGUGUGUGUGUGUGUGUGUGUGUGUGUGUGUGUGUGUGUUAAGGACAAACCAGUCUUUCAGGGUGUUUUCUGCUUUGGUGAGGACAUGUCUGUAUUGUGAUUAAGCACAUUAUAAUACUUUAGACUUGUCACGAUUACAAAGAAUUUGGUUAGGUAUUGGAGAAAAUAGAAUUUUUUCUCCCAGUUGAGUUGUCAGAGUAACCAACAUAGGGAAGAAGAUGGUGGGAGCAAGUAGGUUAAGCAUUGCGCUAGUAGUUAGAGUUGAAAGGUCAGUCUCUUUGGGGCAAUAAAAUUAGGACUGAUUAAUUGGCAUUCUUCUUGGUUACUGAGCCAGUGUGUCAUUACAACAGGAAAGGAAAGUAAAAAUCCUUCAUGAAUUUUAUGCUUAUAUCAUACUAUGUUUUUUUGUAUGAUUGUUGAUUUAUUCACACAAUAUUCAGCAUACUUAAACAAAAUCCUAUUAUGUGACAAGCACUGUGCUAGCCUAAAAAGUACAGAGAAGAAAGGACACAGUUGUCUUUUUCUGAGCGCUCUCACCAUUAAUAGAGAAAAACGUGAAAAAUAAUUACAGGACUAUAUAAGAAGAGAAAAUGGAGUUAAGGUAUAGAGAAUGUAUAAAGCAGGGGAUGAUUACAUUUGUCUCAGUUGUGGUAUUAGAGAACAUUUUACAGAGGAGCACUUGAACUUGUUCUUGAAAGAGAAAUCAAUUUGCCUGGAGCCCAAAAAGAUACUAUUCUAGACUAAGAGAAGAGCUUGCAGAGACGGAAUAAGACAAUAUGACACAUUGGGGAAUACUUGGAAAGGAAAGAGAGGAGAGAAGGGUAAAUAAAAGAUAGGGCUUAGCUCAUGAAAGGCUUUCGAUACCUAUUCCUUCAGUGGUUCACCAACCAGUUAUGAGAUAAUAUGAUAGACUUAUUGUUUACAGGGAUCAGGAGAGAGUGAAACAAAAUGAACCUGAAUGAGCACUCUGUUGAGUAAUCCAUUUGUGAAAUGAUAAUAGCGGUGGAGUGAAGCAGAAGAGGAUGGAUCAUAGGAGGCAGAACCAAUAGGAUUGGGGCAGUGAUGUCAUUCCCCCAAAUAGGGAUUAUGAGAGGAACUGAACAUUGCAGCCCAGACGAACAUUGACCUAUAUAAUCAGUUCAUUUUUUGAUAUAUUGAUUUUGUGGUGCUGUUGAACAUUGAAAUGCUAGAGAAAUUUGUGUAUUGUAAACUUAUAAGUAGACAUGGAAGUUGAAUUUGAUGAAGUAGUAUGUGCAGAAUGAGAGGGAAAG